AACGAUGAUGCUCGCUGUGUGCCUAUGAGGUAUGUGCCAAGGGAAACCAUAAGCAUCCCACCUGGGGAGUACGCCGCAACGGUGAACUCAAGGAAUUGACGGGGCCCGCACAAGCGGAGGACAUGUGGUUUAAUUCGAUGAUACGCGAGGAACCUUACCCGGGCUUGAACUGCAGCAGACGGAUUCAGAGAUGAUGACUCCCUUCGGGGCUGCUGUGGAGGUGCUGCAUGGUUGUCGUCAGCUCGUGCCGUGAGGUGUCGGCUUAAGUGCCAUAACGAGCGCAACCCCUUUCGUUAGUUGCCAUCAGGUGAUGCUGGGCACUCUGGCGAUACUGCCACCGUAAGGUGUGAGGAAGGUGGGGAUGACGUCAAAUCAGCACGGCCCUUACGUCCGGGGCUACACACGUGUUACAAUGGCGCAUACAGAGAGUCGGUUGCAUGUAAAUGUGAUCUAAUCAAUAAAGUGCGUCGUAGUUCGGACUGGGGUCUGCAACCCGACCCCACGAAGCUGGAUUCGCUAGUAAUCGCGCAUCAGCCAUGGCGCGGUGAAUACGUUCCCGGGCCUUGUACACACCGCCCGUCAAGCCAUGAAAGCCGGGGGCACCUGAAGUCUGUGACCGCGAGGGGCGGCCUAAGGUGAAACUGGUAAUUGGGGCU
rnacentral:rRNA from 1 species